rnacentral:lncRNA from 1 species
UAAUUUAAUGAAGAUGAGUUUUUAAACUCCUCUUCCACAAGAAACCCUAACCCUAGCCGCCAGAGAAAAUCGAAGAAGAAGAAGAGGGGUGGUCGUUGACACCGAAGAGGUGAGUUUUUUCCCCCUUUCGCUUCGAAAUUCAGUUCUAAACCUCACCACACCCAUAUCGGUACCAAAAAACUAAAAGAGAAGCUAAAACUCCUCUGAUGGGCCCGAAUCUCCU